rnacentral:sRNA from 1 species
UAUCACACUUAUGUUCUAAUAGAUUUUAACCCGCGGUAUACCGCGGAGACAAUUCAUUUUUUAAAAUUAAUAUAUAUAUAAUUUGUAAAUUAUUUUAUAGUUUACAAUUGUUACUAAGUAACGUCCUGCCAAACCCGUCCCGCCAAACCCGUUCACAA